CUGGUGACAUGAUCGAGAUGCAGGGCUUUGGGCCCAGCCUGCCAGCCUGGCACCUGGAGCCCCUGUGCAGUCAGGGCUCCUCCUGCCUCUCCUGCUCCUCCAGCAGCUCCCCACAUGCAACCCCCAGCCACUGUAGCUGCAUCCCCGACCGUUUCCUCAUCUGUAAAAUGGGGAUGAUGCCACUUGCUGCCUGCAGUACUUAUGAGGACAGAAUGAGAGAGAACCCAAGUGAAGGUCCGGAGUUGUGCCGGCACAUCAUGGGCUCAGUGCCCGUGAGCUCCCCUUCCCGAUGUGCACACAGACCCUGCUGACAGGCCGUCCACCUGAGGACACUCAGCAGCCACCUGCCGUGUGCCAGGGCAGUGAGUGAAUGGCUUUUAUGGGAGGUGUUCUCUUUUACCUUUACUUCGUCUUCCGUUUAUUAAUCCUGAUGAUCCUCCGCUGCCUCUCUCCAUUUUUCACAUGAGGAAACGAAGAUUCAUGUAGGUGAAGUUCGUUGACCAAGAUCCCUGGGUGGUUGGGGGCCAGGCGGGGGCCCCACAGCACUCUGUCCAGGUGGCAGGCAGGGACAGGGCACCCACUGACGGCUGCUGGGCUGCGGCUCCUCCUCCUCGCACCCUCCCCAGUGCCUUACCUGCCCCCCAGGACAGAGCCUCCUCCCUUCUCUCUCUCCUCCCACCAGAGGGGCCGCAGCCCCUCCCUGCUGAGCCCGGUUGUUGCCACAGGUUGCCGCUCAGGCUACUGUGUGAGAGUAUGAAGAGGCAGAUCGUGUCCCGGGCCUUCUACGGCUGUGAGUGUGGGGCGCGCCGGGCUGUGGCGGGCUGGGGGCGGGCGGCCCUGGGUCCCAGCCUCCUGCUGCCCACCGCUGCCCACCGCAGGGCUGGCACACUGCCGCCACCUGUCCACGGUGCGGACCCACCUGUCGGCGCUGGUGCACCAUAGCGUUAUCCCACCUGACCGGCCCCCGGGGGCCUCCGCGGGCCUCACCAAGGACGUGUGGAGCAAGUAUCAGAAGGACAAAAAGGUGCCAACCCUGGGGUUCCAGGGCCACAGGUCGAGGGGCUGGGGCGGGCAGGAGUGAGGGCUUCAGGGUAAAAUGUGCCAGUGGGUGCGGUUGACAGGCCAGGGCCGAUGCCACGGAGUGACCAGGGUCCCGGCAGAAUCUCUUGCAGCUGGGCCUGGGGCUGACACGGGAAGGGGGCUGGACUGGGAAGCCGUCCUGCCUCCACAUCGCCCUGUGACCCUGGACAAAGCUUUGCCUCUCUCCGGGCGCCAUUUCCUGCCCCUUAAGGAAGGAGAGCAGAACGAGAUCUCAUCCCACUGUGAGCUGGGGCACGGGAGGACGUGGCCACCCCAAAGCAGGCCUUGCCUGGGCUUCAGCAGUCACUACAGGCCCCGCCCCAGCCCAUUCUCCGUGGGAUGGGGCUCACCCAGCUGGGCCACGGUGACUGUGGAGGCUGCACAGUCUUGACUCCCCGGGUCCCUCAGAACUACAAAGAGC
rnacentral:lncRNA from 10 species